UACGUAGGGAGCAAGCGUUGUCCGGAAUCAUUGGGCGUAAAGCGCGCGUAGGUGGCUUCGUAAGUCCGUUGUGAAAGUCAAAGGCUCAACCUUUGAAAGCCGAUGGAUACUGUGAAGCUAGAGUACGGAAGAGGCGAGUGGAAUUCCUGGUGUAGCGGUGGAAUGCGCAGAUAUCAGGAGGAACACCUGUGGUGUAGACGGCUCUCUGGACCGCAACUGACGCUGAGACACGAAAGCGUGGGUAGCAAACAGG
rnacentral:rRNA from 1 species